rnacentral:tRNA from 3 species
GAUUCCGUAGCUUAAUUGGAUAGAGCACCUGGUUACGGCCCAGGAGGUUGGGGGUUCGAGUCCCUCCGGGAUCA